rnacentral:rRNA from 1 species
UACGGGGGGGGCAAGCGUUGUUCGGAAUUACUGGGCGUAAAGGGCUCGUAGGCGGCCAACUAAGUCAGACGUGAAAUCCCUCGGCUUAACCGGGGAACUGCGUCUGAUACUGGAUGGCUAGAGAUUGGGAGAGGGAUGCGGAAUUCCCGGUGUAGUGGUGGAAUGCGUAGAGAUCGGGAGGAACACCAGAGGCGAAGGCGGCGACCUGGACAGUGACUGACACUCAACUACGAAAGCGUGGGGAGCAAACAGG